UCGGGAAUAUUGGACAAUGGAGGAAACUCUGAUCCAGCAACGCCGCGUGAAGGAUGAAGGUCUUCGGAUUGUAAACUUCUGUUCUAAGGGAAGAAACAAAUGACGGUACCUUAGGAGCAAGCCCCGGCUAACUACGUGCCAGCAGCCGCGGUGAUACGUAGGGGGCAAGCGUUGUCCGGAAUGACUGGGCGUAAAGGGUGUGUAGGCGGUUUAUUAAGUAAAAUGUGAAAGCCCGAGGCUUAACUUCGGAAUUGCAUUUUAAACUGGUAGACUUGAGUGUGGGAGAGGCAAGUGGAAUUCCUAGUGUAGCGGUGGAAUGCGUAGAUAUUAGGAAGAACAUCAGAGGCGAAGGCGACUUGCUGGAACAUAACUGACGCUGAGGCACGAAAGCGUGGGGAGCAAACAGG
rnacentral:rRNA from 1 species